rnacentral:rRNA from 1 species
GUGUCAGCCGCCGCGGUAAUACGUAGGGGGCAAGCGUUAUCCGGAUUUACUGGGUGUAAAGGGAGCGUAGACGGCAAAGCAAGUCUGUAAGUGAAAGCCCGGGGCUCAACCCCGGGACUGCUUUGGAAACUGUUCUGCUAGAGUGCUGGAGAGGUAAGCGGAAUUCCUAGUGUAGCGGUGAAAUGCGUAGAUAUUAGGAGGAACACCAGUGGCGAAGGCGGCUUACUGGACUGUAACUGACGUUGAGGCUCGAAAGCGUGGGGAGCAAACAGGAUUAGGAUACCCUGGUAGUCCACGCCGUAAACGAUGAAUGCUAGGUGUCGGGGGGGCAAAGCCCUUCGGUGCCGCCGCUAACGCAAUAAGCAUUCCACCUGGGGAGUACGUUCGCAAGAAUGAAACUC